AGAAGAUCUGACGGUACCUCCCAAGAAAGCACCGGCUAACUCCGUGCCAGCAGCCGCGGUAAUACGGAGGGUGCAAGCGUUGCUCGGAAUUACUGGGCGUAAAGCGCACGCAGGCGGCCCUGCAAGUCGGAUGUGAAAGCCCCGGGCUCAACCCGGGAACUGCAUUCGAAACUGCUGGGCUUGAGUUCGGAAGAGGGUGGUGGAAUUCCUGGUGUAGAGGUGAAAUUCGUUGAUAUCAGGAGGAACACCGGGCGGCGAAGGCGGCCACCUGGUCCGAUACUGACGCUCAUGUGCGAAAGCGUGGGUAGCAAACAGGGAUUAGAUACCCUGGUAGUCCACGCCGUAAACGAUGAAUGCUAGGUGUUGGAGGUAUUCACCCCUUCAGUGCCGAAGUUAACGCAUUAAGCAUUCCGCCU
rnacentral:rRNA from 1 species